AUGCACCACUCGUAGCAGUGCGGGCCUGAGCGCACCGUCCGCGCCCACCUAACGACUGCUCGCUCUGUGUUAUUAGCC
rnacentral:sRNA from 1 species